rnacentral:lncRNA from 1 species
UGACAUAAAUGACCACUUUAUUCACUAGUAUGAUAUGUGUGGAUCUUACUCCCUCUUAUUUAGUAGCCAGAAUGGAAAAUUUAUUUUUGAAAUAUGUUUUUUCUUAUUUUUUAGGGAUAUUUCUUUUCUGUAUGAUGUUAAAUACGUAAAAGAAGAGACUAGAGAGAAUGCAAUUUGUCCCCCACAUUCGGACCAUGCAUUACAAUCCAAAGAUGAUCAUGAGAAACAUGAUGGUGUCCUCAUGCCUCAGAAGAGAACUGUGUCUGGUUUAGUCACAUUAUAUGGAAUUAACAAAGAAACAGAGAAAGCCCACAAGGAUUUGGCACAAGCUGUUUUAGAUGCUGAAAAGAAUGCCAGGUGAGUUGCUUAAAGUUUAUGUAGCAUAUGUUGUGGAAAGUAUAUAUCACUUCUGAAGUAAUAUGAGGUCUGCCCAAAAAAGGUAUACAUCAAGAAAAGAAAAACUUGUAUAAAUAUUUUAAUACUAAAUUUAU